ensembl:lncRNA
GUACUCUACUUUAAAGGCUUUACUUGGUGUGGAGGUCAAGCAGUCAAGGUUAGAGCAGCUGACCCAAAAUAAAGCUAGUCUGGACUCCUUUAUUGACGCCACACUGAAGCACCUGAAGGAGAAGAACUAUGAUGGACUGGAGAUGACCUGGGUGGAGAACACUGCGUCUGAAGAACCUUCCAGAAGCACAGAGACUUUAGCACAAUUUCUAAAGGAACUGAAGAGACAGAUCGGAGAAGACGCUGAGCUCGCUAACCAGUCUGUGCUAGUUUUAGUGUCUCUUCCGGCUCGUACCGACCACACCAGCGCCCACAGUGAUGAGAAAGCUAUCUCACAAUUUGUGGACUUCAUCACCUUGCUGCCAUCUAGCCUUGUAGAAGAAUCGCAGAUUGACAGUGCAGUUAAGUACUGGCAGGAGCAAGGAGUCGACCCCCAGCAGCUCAUCGUGGCAUUGCCUGCGUUCUUGUGGAGGUCUAGGAGACGAGAGCACAGGAGACGUUUUGACACAGUCAACGUAACUCCAGAGAAAGUGGAGCAGCCCUACGGUCCGGGGCUGAUGAUCGCCAAGCAGGUCUGCCAGGCUAUUAAAAGCGGACAAACAGAGUUAAAGACUUUGACCAAACUGGAGAGUACUCAAAGCCUGGGAGAAGAGGUCUCCUGGCUGCUGCAGAAGGGGGUUGGUGGUGUCGGAGUUGUCGCGUUAGAUGUCGACAACUUUGCCGAGUCCAUGUGCCUCAACUGCACAGAAAGUGAAAAGGCGCUUCUCGAAUCCAAGACGAUUUCUGUGCCUCCUCAUCACCAUCAUCACCCUCACGGUCACAGCCCUCACUCCAGGCACGGCCAUCAUCGUGGUCCUCACCACCAUCAUCCUCAUGAUAGAGAGGGCAGAGAACCUCACGGCCAGGAUGGUGCUUCGUUUGACGCUAAUGACACUGGUCACCGUCACGGACACCGUCAUGGUCGCCACCACCAUGAGCAUCACCAUGGCCACGGUCACCAUGGUCACGGGCAUCAUGGACGUGGUGGUCAUGGUGAGCGUGGUCCAUAUGGUCAUCAUGGUGAGCGUGGCCAUGAAGGCCAUUCCCAUGAUCAUCAUAGGCGUCACUCAACAGCUUAGAGUUCAUAAAACAGAGAAAUGAAAACAAUUCAUGACGGUUAAUAAUUACCAGGUGAAAAAAGUUAUACAAAUAUGAAUGUGAGCAGCAGUGUGUCACUUCUUUAAUCGUCAUGGUUGCAAUAGCAUUAGAUUGUCACAAUAUUAUAAACAGCUUAAAAAAUCUUAUUGUAGUUAUUGUUAUGGGUUUUAACCCUAAAAUUAGUUAAAAACAGGGUACUUUUUGUUUGAUAAAAAAAAAAAAAAUUCCCAGUAUUGCCAAAAGUAUUCACUCACUCAUUCACAUCAUUAAAUUCAGGUGUUUUAUUCACUUAAUCACACUUUAAUCACAGGUGUAAAUCAAGCUCCUAUGUCUGGCAAUCUAAAUGAUGAACCUGGGUUUGGUGGUUGCCAGGAGAACAGUACUUGUCAGACAUUGUGCAUUGUGCCAGGUGUAAAGUUUGGUGGAGGGGGGAUUAUGGUAUGGGGUUGUUUUGGAGAUUUUGGUGGGAACAAGAGAACAAUUUGACCAUGGCUUAUUACUGUUCAAACAUGAUUUUGUGUACCAGUGCACAAAUCAAGCUCCAUAAAGACAUAAAUGAGCGAGUUUGGUGUGGAAGAACUUGACUGGCCUGCACAGAGUCCUGACCUCAACUUGUCAGAACCUCAGACAUUUGGAAGAAUGGUGAAAAAUUCCCAUAAACACACUCCUAAACCUUGUGAAAAGCCUUCCCAGGAGAGUUAAAGCUGUUAUAGAUGUAAAGCCGGGGCCCACAUCAUAUUAUAGCCUUCAUAUGUGUUCAUAUGUGUGCAAAUGAUGAUUAUGAAGACUACUUUUGGCAAUACAGCCUAUAUUUAUGGAAUUAUGGAAGCAUGUGUAAAAUUACUAUCUUUCUAAAUCUAAGCAAUUUUGAAUGAUUUUACUUCAGCUAAUUAUUAUUUUCUUUAUGGAUUAAUCUGACAAUUGUUUAAUGAAUAGACUGAUUAUUAAAAUGUUAAACUCUGAAAAUAGAAAAAAGAUCAUUUUAUUCUCUGUUCAGUUGCAUGUUUUUAAUACUAGUAUUAAGUAAAACUACAUUAUAUAAUAACAAUCAAUUUCAUAAGUAUUCUGCUACAACCCUAGUGAUCAUUUAACAUUUAAUGGAUUGACUGAACAUUGGAAAAGAUUUUCUUUAAAAAAUAAAGAAAGAAAACAAAGUAAUUUUUUUUAUAUA